GGGCUCUGCCUUAAACUGGAUUCUCUAAGGAAGGACACAGAGGCGCCGGCGGUCGGACGGAGUGGCAGGAGCAGAGGCUGCUCAGCAGAGCCUUCGUCCCACCCCGGGUCUGUGCCCGGGGAGGGAGGGGAAUGGGGGCCCCAGAAGAUGCGCCUCGUCCUGACCCCUGGCGCCUGUGGCUGUGACCUCACUUGGAAAAAGAGUCUUUGAGGACUGAGAGACUCGCUGUCUUGUCUGUGCCGGCGGCCGCAGGAACCAGCUCAGAAGGUCCCAGGGAGCCAGUGCUGCCAUCAGCGGACGCCGCCUCUCAGGGCCCACGGAGCUCGCACUUGGAGGGGAGCCCUGCCUGCUGUGCUGUGCAGGGACCCUCGAACGUGGCCCUGCUCCCCUCUCAGCCCGACUCGCUCCCCACGGAAGCCAGUCCUCUGCUUGCUGUUGGAGUCCCGACACCUCUUCCAGGAAGCCCUCCUGGAAGUCUGACCCACCAGAGCCAUUGCCAGCCCCUUUCUCCUGCCCUCCCCAGGCCCCCAGAGUCCAGGGGACCCACAGCAGAUUCUCCAGGCCCCCUGAUGGUCUUCGCCCCUGUCCGGAGGAAAAGACACCUCGCUCAGACACCGGCUGAGCAGGACCAAGAUGGGCCAGUGGCUGGAAGCCUGGGAAGCGUGCUCAGAGGCGGGGACUGCAAGCUGAGGGGACAGGCUCCGAGAGGCAAAGUCACCUGCUCGGGGUCUCCCAGCGGAAAGUGGCAAGGGCAGGAUUUGAACCCAGGCUGCCCUGUCUUCAGAGCUUCCAAAUGUCACCAAGCUGCCCCUCUGAGGCUGCCUCUGUGUCGGGGCCCUGGCUGCCCCAUCGCCGAGGGCUUACUUCAAAGAUGAGAGCUGAGGAGCCCCCCGCCCCCAACAGUCGAUGUCGCCCAAGGUCCCGAAAAGCGCAGGCCUCUCCAGGCGUCUGUCUGGCUUAACCGCCUGGACUCAGCUGCACAUCCAGAUGUGGGGAAAACCCUGUGCACCAAAGUGCACAUAUCGGCGAAAGCGUGUGACCAGAAGGUCCGCGAGCUCCAGCAAGACGGGGUCCCAGCAACGCUGAGAUGAUGAGGUUGGCGUGUGGCCGGGGUCCGCGCGCUCCUGAGGAGUCGAGCUGGCUGAUGCUUCCGGCCCUCACUUAUCGUCCAUCAACUCGUGGUCCAGACACAGCAAUAACAAGACGGGCCGUGCCAAACGGGCACAGGGAGCUGCCCAGGGGAAGCGAGGGCCUGCAGAAGGCGAGGGAUGGCAGGGAGCCCGCCCCCGGAGGCUGUGCCUGGUCCCUCUCUGCAAGAUGCAUCACCCACUGUUUCCUGUCUGUAAUAGGAAAAAAAAAAAGCUAAAUAUUUAAAACUUCUCCCCAAAUAUAGGAAAGACGGAGAACCUUUUUUGGUCAGGGUCCCCAUGGGAGGCCCACUCUGCCGUCUGAGUGGGUGACCUGAGGUCUGAGCUGGAGAAAAAGUUGCCCCAUGCGACCCUGGGCCUGUGAGGCUGGGGGUCCGGUGCCACCCCGAGGCGCUGUGGCCCUGGCCAGGCGAGUGGCCGGCGGGCAGGGCAGGCUCAGAGCCAACCCAGCUCCCCUCCUGUCCCCCACCUCCUCCCGGCACCUCCCGGUGGGCUGAACCCGCUGGGAGCCAGGGGACCAGGGAGCCGA
ensembl:lncRNA